AGCAGUCGCCGCGGUAAUACGUAGGUCCCGAGCGUUGUCCGGGUUUAUUGGGCGUAAAGCGAGCGCAGGCGGUUAGAUAAGUCUGAAGUUAAAGGCUGUGGCUUAACCAUAGUACGCUUUGGAAACUGUUUAACUUGAGUGCAAGAGGGGAGAGUGGAAUUCCAUGUGUAGCGGUGAAAUGCGUAGAUAUAUGGAGGAACACCGGUGGCGAAAGCGGCUCUCUGGCUUGUAACUGACGCUGAGGCUCGAAAGCGUGGGGAGCAAACAGGAUUAGAUACCCCUGUAGUCCCUGUCUCUUAUACA
rnacentral:rRNA from 1 species